rnacentral:rRNA from 1 species
GACGAACGCUGGCGGCGUGCCUAAUACAUGCAAGUAGGACGCAGUGGCGAACGGGUGAGUAACGCGUAGGUAAUUACCUAUUAGAGGUGGAUAACAAUUGGAAAAGAUAGCCAAUACCGCAUAUUAGUCGAUGGACUUGUGUUGUAUUAGCUAGUGGGUAGGGUAAAGGCCCACCUAGGCAACGAUACAUAGCCGACCUGAGAGGGUGAUCGGCCACACUGGGACUGAGACACGGCCCAGACUCCUACGGGAGGCAGCAGUAGGGAAUCUUCGGCAAUGGGGGGAACCCUGACCGAGCAACGCCGCGUGAGUGAAGAAGGUUUUCGGAUCGUAAAGCUCUGUUGUUAGGGAAGCGGUACUUAACCAGAAAGGGACGGCUAACUACGUGCCAGCAGCCGCGGUAAUUC